ACCACCACCUGAUGUUUGCUGAUUUAAAUGAUUCCCGCAGGGAUCAUAUGCACACACAGGACCAGAACCCACUGAACAAAGGAACUUUUCUGCAACUCAACAUUUGACUUUUACAGCUCAAGAAUGGAACGAGGAUUGAUCCUGUUGGUUGCUGCAUUGGGGGUUUAUGUGGCAUCGGGUGUCCAAGGAACGUCUUACUUGUCAUUUUCCAAUAAUACACAGGUGAACAUCUCUCAAAAUGGUUGUGGAGUCACUAAACUGUGUGUGCAGACACCAGGCAACUGUGAUCUAACUGGAAACACCAGCUGUCUGUUUGCAUCUGUGAUCGCCAACGGCUCUGCAAUGUCCUUCCAACUCCGCGGAGACUCCGUGGGAUACAUCGCACUGGGACUCACUGUGAAUGCUUCACA